AACGAACGCUGGCGGCAUGCCUAACACAUGCGAGUCGAACGAGACCUUCGGGUCUAGUGGCGCACGGGUGCGUAACGCGUGGGAACCUGCCCUUAGGUUCGGAAUAACUCCCCGAAAGGGGUGCUAAUACCGGAUAAUGUCUUCGGACCAAAGAUUUAUCGCCUUUGGAUGGGCCCGCGUUGGAUUAGCUAGUUGGUAGGGUAAAAGCCUACCAAGGCGACGAUCCAUAGCUGGUUUGAGCGGAUGAUCAGCCACACUGGGACUGGGACACGGCCCAGACUGGUACGGGCGGCAGCAGUGGAGAAUAAUGAGGAAUGGGAGAAUGUGUGAUCCAGCAUUGCCGCGGGAGAGAUGAAGGCCUUAGAGUUUUAAAGCGCUUUUACCCAGGAUGUUAAUGACAGUACCGGGAGAAUGAGCGCCGGCUAACUCCGUG
rnacentral:rRNA from 1 species